UUUGACCCGCCCACUUAAUAUUGCCAUGAUCACUUAUCCCUCCCUUUCCCUCUCUUCCUCUCUCUCCCCCUCUCCUCUCUAUUCUUAUACAGGUCUAGUAGUGUCCUUAUUUUCCAUUGGUUGUUUCAUUGGUGCUUUAGUCUCAGGAGGUACACUACAGAUCAUGUGAUAAUCAUGUGACAUGUGCGUCAUUAUUUUGUAGCAUUGUCUGAUUCGAUUGGUUGGAAGCUAUCAAUCAUUGUGGGUGGAGUAAUUUUUUUUUAUUGGUGGUGCCUUGCAAGCAUCUUUUAAUUUAUGGAUGGUAUUGGUUGGUCGAAUGGUUGCUGGGAUUGGUGUAGGUAUAUUGAGCAUGAUUGUUCCUGUAUAUAAUGCUGAGCU